rnacentral:rRNA from 1 species
CAACUUUCAGCAACGGAUCUCUUGGCUCUCGCAUCGAUGAAGAACGCAAGCGAAAUGCGAUAAGUAAUGUGAAUUGCAGAAUUCAGUGAAUCAUCGAAUCUUUGAAUGCACCUUGCGCCUCCCGGUAUUCCGGGAGGCAUGCCUGUUUGAGUGUCAUGG